UGACCUCGUCCAGGCUGAAUUUUCCAGCCAG
rnacentral:sRNA from 1 species